AAAGGGAGACCUAAUUCAGGUAGGAGACGAAAAAAAAGUAGUCCCUACCAAGAAUCAAUCCCAAAAGGUCGGAGCGAGGCGAAAUUGGCUUUCAAACUAGGUUCUGGGUUCACACAAGACCUGAAUCAGGAACAAGGGCUAUUAGCUCAGGUGGUUAGAGUGCACCCCUGAUAAGGGUGAGGUCCCUGGUUCGAGUCCAGGAUGGCCCACCUGUACAGGUGGCAAAAAGAAAGAAAAGAAGCGAGGAAUCAGCACCUUAUCUUACUUAUAUAGUAAGAGAGAAUGCUGGCUCUGAGUUCAGAGUCCAGAGGAACCUUGAAAACUGCAUAGAGCUAGGUGAAAAAGCCAAAAAAGAAGACCGCAAG
rnacentral:tRNA from 1 species